UACGUAGGGGGCAAGCGUUAUCCGGAAUUACUGGGUGUAAAGGGAGCGUAGGCGGCAAUAUAAGUCAGAUGUGAAAUUCGAAGGCUCAACCUUCGAACUGCAUUUGAAACUGUAUAGCUAGAGUACAGGAGAGGAAAGCGGAAUUCCUAGUGUAGCGGUGAAAUGCGUAGAUAUUAGGAGGAACACCAGUGGCGAAGGCGGCUUUCUGGACUGUAACUGACGCUGAGGCUCGAAAGCGUGGGGAGCGAACAGG
rnacentral:rRNA from 1 species